rnacentral:snoRNA from 1 species
GCUGCGCUGAUGAUGAGCUCAAAACGUACUUGGUUGAAUUUUGGAUCGAACAAUGACCACCUGUGUUCCUCUCGAAUUGAGGUGUAUU